UGGUCAAGUUAUUAAGGGUGCAGGGCGGAUGCCUUGGCACUAGGAGCCGAUGAAGGACGUGAUAAGCUGCGAUAAGCUUCGGGGAGUUGCACGUAAACUUUGAUCCGAAGAUUUCCGAAUGAGGAAACUCACUUAGAGUAAUGUCUAAGUAUCAUUAAGUGAAUACAUAGCUUAAUGAGGGGAACUCAGGGAACUGAAACAUCUAAGUACCUGAAGGAAGAGAAAGAAAUUCGAUUCCGUAAGUAGCGGCGAGCGAACGCGGAUUAGCCCAAACCAAUAAAGUUUUCUUUAUUGGGGUUGCGGACAUAUCAUAACGAAGAGGUAUCGUAAUUGAAGAGGUUUGGAAAGACCCACCACAGAAGGUAAUAGUCCUGUAUGUUAAACGAGAAGACUUCAGAUAUGAUCCAGAGUACCACGGG
rnacentral:rRNA from 1 species